rnacentral:rRNA from 1 species
UACCCGCGUCGGACUACGUCGUACGGCGCACUCACUACUUCCGGAAGCCCAACAUUUGGAGAAAGCAGGCCCUGCUAUUACUGCCAUGGCCAGCUUCUUCGGGGCCGAUUGAGGCACGGUCGUCGGCGCCAUAUAU